ensembl:snRNA
AUGUUUUAAGAAAGGAGGGAAAGUCAGCACUCCUCUUGACAAUGACAGAAAAGGCCCUGCAGCCUGACAACAUGCAUACAGUUAAGGUAUCGCCACCUACUUCAAGGCAUCAACUACUUCCACUA